AAAUGAAUUGACGGGGGCCCGCACAAGCAGCGGAGCAUGUGGUUUAAUUCGAAGCAACGCGAAGAACCUUACCUAGACUUGACAUCCCCUGCAUAACCCAGAGAUGGGCGAAGUCCUUCGGGACAGGGUGACAGGUGGUGCAUGGUUGUCGUCAGCUCGUGUCGUGAGAUGUUGGGUUAAGUCCCGCAACGAGCGCAACCCUUAUCAUUAGUUGCUACCAUUAAGUUGAGCACUCUAGUGAGACUGCCCGGGUUAACCGGGAGGAAGGUGGGGAUGACGUCAAAUCAUCAUGCCCCUUAUGUCUAGGGCUACACACGUGCUACAAUGGUGAGUACAAAGAGAUGCAAGACCGCAAGGUGGAGCCAAACUCAAAAACUCAUCCCAGUUCGGAUUGUAGGCUGCAACUCGCCUACAUGAAGCCGGAGUUGCUAGUAAUCGCGAAUCAGCAUGUCGCGGUGAAUACGUUCCCGGGCCUUGUACACACCGCCCGU
rnacentral:rRNA from 1 species